AGGAUAAACGCUGGCGGCGUGCCUAACACAUGCAAGUCGAACGCGCUUUCGGGCUUCGGUGCGAGAGCGAGUGGCGGACGGGUGAGUAACACAUGGGUACCUGCCUUUCAGUGAGGGAUACCGGCGAGAAAUCGCCGACAAUACCGCAUGGGCUUGUGGGAACACAAGCAAAGUGGCGCAAGCCACGCUGGAAGAUGGGCCUGUGGCCGAUUAGCUAGUUGGGGGGGUAACGGCCUCCCAAGGCGACGAUCGGUAGCUGGUCUGAGAGGACGAUCAGCCACACUGGGAUUGAGAACGGCCCAGACUCCUACGGGGGCAGCAGUGAGGAAUUUUCCGCAAUGGACGAAAGUCUGACGGAGCAACGCCGCGUGCAGGAGGAGGUUUUCGGAUCGUAAACUGCUUUUCGUCGGGGACGAGCAAGGACGGUACCCGAGGAAGAAGCCCGGCUAACUACGCGCCAGCAGCCGC
rnacentral:rRNA from 1 species